rnacentral:lncRNA from 1 species
GAAUAUCAUGUUUUUUAUUUUGGCUAUGGAUUAUAAAUGAGUUAUAUAUUAUUUGCUGUAAUGGGUCAUGCAAGAGAAAUGAGGCCAGGUCAUCUGAAAUCAAGAAUGAACAGAAGUUAAGAGCACUUGGAUUAUGCUCUGGGCGGAGCACAUUGAACUAUUUAAGGUAUCAAUUAUAAUAAGCAAUGGCCUCCUUCUUAGUCCUUGGAAUCAUGAUUGUUAGAGGUAUUCUAACUUGGUGGAAUUUGGUGUGGGAGGCUUGAAAAGUGGAUGAAAGUUGCUAAUAGUGAUUGUUAGGGGUAUUUUUGGAAUAAAAAAGAUAAAAGGACAUGUUUAAUUAAAGACUCAUUGACCAGGAGUUGUCGGAUGAUAAGUCAGAUGAAUGGGACCGGCUUAUACAAAACCCCUUGUUAAAAAAAUUAAACAGAUCCAAUUCUUUAGUUUGGCCCACCAUGUGAUUGAUCAAAACUGUUUACCUUUUAAAAUUUUAUGCCUAGAUUAUUUUUGAAAAAAAAUCUAUUCUAUCAUAUAUAUGUAACCACAUGAUUUUCUCAUAUUUGUUUUGAUAAAAUUGAAAGGUUUAUUCUCAUAAUCAUACUUGCUCCGAAAAUAAAUGUUAUAAAACAUACUACUGGCUAUGAUGAUUAGAUCAACCUGAUUUGUUUUAAUUUUUGUUUUAUGAAUAACUUACGCAUUAAGUCAAGAAAAUAAAUAUUUUCGAUACCUCUUAUCAUACCUUCUUCGAAAAUAAAUGUUAUAAAACAUAUGACUGGCUACGAUGAUCGGAUCAAGUUUUUUUUUUUUGUUGGUAAAUAACAUAUGCAUUUAGGACCAAAAAAAAAGUUACGAUCAAUGUGCCCUAUUACCGUUAGCCCACAAAACAAAACUAGACCUCUCUGAUUGUGGAAAAUUCCUACAAACAAAGACAAUUACAUGUUUCUAUUAACAGUGGUGCUAAGUAUAUUCUAUAAAUUAUUUCAUAAAUUACCAAAUGAACUAGUCCAUACACACAUGAGACACGGGUCUUACACUAUCAUUUAGAUAUGAGACUCACUCAUCAUGUGAGUAUGGAAUAAUUCAUUCGAUAAUUCAUAAAGUGUACCUAGCUUUAUUUUUAUGUUAAAUGCAUUUUGUAUUUUCCACCCCAGAUAAAAAAGUACCAAAAAUUGCCAAAACCAGUAGCAACAUGAACCCAACUUUUCCUUCAUCGGAACUCAAACACUGCAGUCCUUCUUCGUCAUUUGCCUAUAUAAAAAAAAAUCUUUUAAUGCUUGGUGUUCUUCGAAAUUUCUGGUUUUCUAUAACAUCACGUUAUUGGGGUUUUCUUUAGGAUUCACCAAUGCUAUGGAGCUUGGAGGAUAGGAUUUUAUUUCUUGUGAAAACCCAAACAAGCAAUGCUGGAAAAAAAUGAGUGGAAUCCCACGUGUGAUGGCUCAUACUACUACUAAUGGGUAUUCUACAAGCAUUACUUUUCACCAUUCACUUCUAAUUGGUACAAUCUAACCAUUUACUUGUAUAAAAUCAUAAUAUCACGUCAUCAUGCAUAUGUGCUAUCACUAAGUAAUAUAUAUAAUAAAUCAUGCUUAAUAGUAUUACUAAUUUAUGAUAUAAUAUUAUAGAUUGGUGGUAUAUCAAGUAUUAUGACGUGCUAUAUUAUAGCUGCAUUCAAAAUUUUCUCUGACAUAAUGGAGACACAGGAUAGGGACGGAUAAUCCUGAUCUAGAGCAUCUCAAUUACUCUGUACUAUUUGAACAAUGCUAUUGUCAAAACUCUUCAUGCUAGAAGAUAAUUUUAUAAAUUUUUACUAUUAGGACUUCAUUGUUUCAAUGCCAAUUGGCACAAAAAUCUUAAAGAUCCAAAACUUUGAUGAUGACAUAAUAAUUUAACUUGGCACAAGAAAUAUAUUUGCCAAAUUUUGGCAUGAAAAACUAAUAUGGCAUUAUUUUCGCUUGCUCUUAUCUAAAUUGGGCAAUUAGUAAGAGAUUUGAUAAACCCAACAAAACCCCACUUCACAAUACUUUUGAUGAGCCAAGAUUUGGUUUGGCAGUUAGCAAGAGAUUUGGUUUGCUCUUAUCAUUCGCCCACAUAUCAAAUAAAAGGAGACAGAGGGGACAUUGCUAAUUGAUCUAAAGGGUGAGAGUUGAAUUGUCCAAACUUAAAGUAAUCAGUACAAAGUGGUAUCGGACUUAAAGUGCAAAUGUGCAAAGUGUAAAGCAAAGUGACAUAUUGUCAAGUUUCUUUAUUUAUUGUUAACAGAUAUGGACAGAUGAGCAAUUGCUAAUUGACAUAAACUCCCAAACUCCUUAUUAAUCUUCCCUCCUUGUCGAGGAUUGAAUCCAAAAUCAGUUUCUCAUCAUCACGACUGUAGGCAAGAAGAUGGUGGAGCCUAUUAAUUUCAAAAGGUAACUCAGACACAAGGGAUCUUUUGAGGUCCAAUGCCAAUAAGUUUUGUAGUCUGCCAAUGGCCUUUGGCAGAACAUUAGUUUUUGUGUCUUUGAUA